GGCCUCUUGGAGCUUCCUACAGGCUGUGUUCUUACACCAAUACUAUAUGCAGAGGAGGGAAAGAAACCUACCCCAUGUGCACCUCAUCCCAGGCCCUGUGCCUGGUUUAUAUUGUAAAGAGGGAAAAGAGG